rnacentral:tRNA from 1 species
GCGCCGGUGGUGAAAAGGCGUAGAGCAUUCCCGCCCGGUCAGAGGGAGGUGCGGGUUCGAGUCCCGCCUGGCGCU